rnacentral:rRNA from 1 species
UACAGAGGAGCCAAGCGUUGUCCGGAUUGACUGGGCGUAAAGCGCACGCAGGCGGUCGGGCGCGUGGGGGGUGAAAUCUGGCCGCUUAACGGCCAGGCGCCAUCCCAUACGGCACGACUGGAGGGCUGCAGAGGUCGAUGGAAUUGCCGGUGUAGUGGUGAAAUGCGUAGAGAUCGGCAGGAACACCCAGGGGGAAACCAGUCGACUGGGCAGCACCUGACGCUGAGGUGCGAGAGCGUGGGGAGCGAACCGG